UGGGCUCUGUCUGUGGUCCCUGACAGGGGGAGGCAGGAAAGGAGGUGUUGGUGUUGAGCUGUUGGGAAUUGCCAGAGGGAUUGGGUAGCGGGUGAGUGAGGCUCUACUGACAUCUAGUGAGGUUGUCUCCACUAGCUUUAUGUUCCCUGUGUGCUGGGGAGGCAUUAAAAAUCCUCAGGCUUUGCUUUUGGGGGCGCUGAGGGGGAGCAGCAAGUUGAUAGGAGUCCUGCGUCUUGUUGGUGAAGACUGCAGCUCUUGUAACCGCUUUCCUCUCUGCACAGCCCCUUGGCUCCUGGCCAGCCACCUUGGCAGAUCACACGGAGCUGAGUUGCCUCUGAGAUUUGAACUGUUGCCCUCAUAUUUUCCUGCCUAAUUAGACUGAAGCUGAUAGUGGAUGCAAGAGCAGUUCCUCUGCCGUUGCCUGUGUGAUCUGCCUGACAUAAUCCGAGAUGCUGUGCUCGAUGCCCCCUUGCUGUCCCAGGUGCUCUGUCUCUCUCCGUCUCUGGAUGCAUCACAAUGAGACUCUUUUGGAGCUAUCAAUUAACAUGAUAUGAAAUAGAAGAUACAGCUACCUCUUUUCUGUACAGUCCUGUGUGCAGCAUCCUACAGGGUCAGCUCUGCUUGGCUGUCCGUCUGUCAGCUCCGGCCUGGAGGAUGCAGCAGCGACGUAGCCCCGGCUCUGGGGGAGGAACGCCCCUGCCGUCCGACUGCAUUCGUUCUGCU